UCAAGAAACUUCCACAAUGGGCGAAAGCCUGAUGGAGCGACGUCGCGUGAUGGACGAAGUGCUUCGGCACGUAAACAUCUUUUUAUGUGGGAUGAAAUUAUUGACAGUACCACAUGAAUAAGGGGCUCCUAACUCUGUGCCAGCAGGAGCGGUAAUACAGAGGCCCCAAGCGUUAUCCGGAAUCACUGGGCGUAAAGGGUGUCGAGGCGGUUGUAUUAGUCGUUCGUAAAAUCUACGAGCUUAACUUGUAGGCGGCGAACGAAACGGUACGACUUGAGGUUUGGAGAGGUGCGUGGAACUCACGGUGUAGGGGUGAAAUCCGUUGAUAUCGUGGGGAACACCAAAGGCGAAGGCAGCGCACUGGCCAAAAUCUGACGCUCACACACGAAAGCUAGGGUAGCGAAGAGGAUUACGAUACCCUAGUAGUCCCUGAGCGGGCUGGCAAGGCGCAU
rnacentral:rRNA from 1 species